GCGACUUUGGAGAAGACGGACGGCAGUUUGGCGGGGAUGAAGAGACCGGAGAGGGAGAGAUGUUUCUAUGCAAAGCGCGGCCAGUCAGGAAACUUUAACUGAGAUUUCCACAUGGAAGAGGACUUUGCUCCCUUCUUUUCCUCAUCCUGCCAGCGCAUCAGCACCUUGGCUUUAGACUGCUUACUGCUUAUACAGUGUCACAGUACAGUAACAGUCUACAGUCAUGGCUACUGAAGCCUGGCGAUUCAUCAGACACCUCUGCGAGGGGAGUGUAGAUGUGGAAAACAGCCCAGUGACAGUGCGCAGUGCUUUUAAAAUGGCCGACCUGAUAGCAGAGUGUCAACGUGUGAGUCAGUGAUCUCGCUCCGUCUCUCUUUUUCUCUCUCUCUCUCUUUCCUUCUCUCCCGCUGUGUCUGUUUUUUCCCUCCUGCUAAGAGAGGAAACCUGUGUGGGCUUGCAUUGGGGGAGUCCUGCACCCUGCAAGUGCGUAACGUUCACACUAAAACCAAUGAGACGUUGCAGUUUCCAGUUACCAUGCCAACUCCAGCUCCACCUCAACCCGGCUGUCUCCAUGGUGACCGUGGCUUUAGAUUGUUACUCUAGCAACAGCACCAUGGUAACAGUCUACAGCCAUGGUCGUUAGGGGCAGAUGUCAUCAGGAGCAGAAAAUUUGAGGUCAAUAAGUUUUAUGUGUUUGUUAAAGAAAAACAUUGAAAAUUCUUUUUAAAUAGCAAUGUUAUCUAUCUAUCUAUCUAUCUAUCUAUCUAUCUAUCUAUCUAUCUAUCUAUCUAUCUAUCUAUCUAUCUAUCUAUCUAAAUACAUACACAAUCAGGAAUUAUUAAUAAUAAAUAGUUUGAAUUUCUAUCAUAUGCUCCAACAGAUGGAAUCAAUUAUUUAAGAGGAAACAAUUGGAAAGGGUUUAAGUUUAUUUUAUUAAUCAGUUUAUCAAUAGUUUUAUUUUGUAGAACAUUAUACUAAUCCUAUGUACAGUAGUUGUGCAGUCAAGCAUGAAUUAAUUUUCUCAUGUCAAGUUUCAUUAAAAGGAAUUUGACUUAGAUGGUCCAGCUUUGAUGAAAUGAGCCUUUGGAUGCGCUACGUAUUGAUUAUUGAAGAAUAAGAUAAAAUCCAAAGUCAGGCCUACAUUUAAACCAGCAGGGAUAAUAACAACAAAAAAGUUUUUAUGUUUCACAGAAUUUUCACCUACAAAAUUAAUCUUCACUUUUUCAUUAUUAUUCAAAAUCCAGAGCAUUUCUUUGUACCUUCAGUCAUUUAGGACACAUGUGCACACACUUUGCUCCUUUUUAACUUUUUCUUUAUUAUGUAUAGCAUGUUGUUUAUUCAUUACAGUACAGUGAUCAAUGCAACCAGUAUGUGCUGCACAGAUGAGUCAGCUGGCUCCAGCACCUGUUCUGCUCUCUGUUUACCAGACCAGAGCGGCUCUACUUCAGAGCAGCAAAGCCAGGAAUCCCCUUUGGGCAUCAGCUCUGAUAUCUGCAGGCAGAUUCAAGAACAUUCUGGCUGCUACACCGGUGGAAUAACACAUACGUAUAGAAAUGCACACACAGAAACAUAUAUACUUGGUAUCAGCAUGCAACAAACACAUAUACUCAGAAAUAAAAUAGAUCCAAGCACUCAAACGCUGCAAUAUCCAGAGUUAGCCUGCCCUCUGGCGGGCAGAUUAUGUCAGUGUUCUGAGAUGUAAUUUAUUCAAUUAAACAUCUUAAAAAUAAAUUUAUGAAGGUCUUUUGAAUUCAUUUUGAGUCUGAUUUACUAGAAUACAUGACUUCUGUGACAGAUAAGACAAGAUAUGAUCUCUCUUUGGGAUGUAGAAAGAGAUGUUUAUGCACCUUCAUACAAAAUAUCUAUCUAUCUAUCUAUCUAUCUAUCUAUCUAUCUAUCUAUCUAUCUAUCUAUCUAUCUAUCUAUCUAUCUAUCUAUCUAUCUAUCUAUCUAUCUAUCUAUCUAUCUAUCUAUCUAUCUAUCUAUCUAUAAAAUGUCAUGACAUUAUCAAUGCUUUUGUUUUUCAAAAAAUGUUUUUCAAAGCAAUUAUUGUUUAACAGAUAGGAGAUAAAAUGUCAAUGGAUUGUCUCCAAAGUUAUCUAAUUAAUAAAAAAGAAUGCUAAAUAAUUAAAAUGACCACAGGAUAUUUUUAAAUCAUGAGAGAUUUAGAUUGAAAUCCGCCAGUUACCAAAAAGUCACCAUUUUUACAUUGAACCAGUUGAUUUUAUUUUUAGACCACUUCUACAGUAAAUAUAUAACUUAUAAGUAUGAAUUCAUCCAAAUAUUUCUUUGGAUUAAUUCAUCAAUUCAUCCAAAGAAUUUUUAAAAAGUAAAUACACUUACUUUCUUUAAAGGUCAGCAGUACAUGGUUAUCAAAGAUUAAUGAAUACCAAAUAUUUAACAAUCUCAGGUUAAUGGUAAAAUGCACCAGGUUACCAUUAACCAUCCUUCUCACCCAUUCCCAAUACAAAUGUAGAGAACCAUCUAAAUUAUGAGAUGGAUUAUUGAAUCAAUCAAUCCUCUGGGUAUGAUAGGUUAUUAUAAUAAUAAUAUGAUAUAGUCUUUCACAUAUGUAUUUUAAUUUGACCAUAUUCACUGUCUUUUUACUUAAACCAACAUAUUUAAUGUGCACUGAUUUUCUGAGGUGCUGUAAAGUAAAUAAAAACUGAUGAUCAGAA